rnacentral:rRNA from 1 species
AUGGAGCCGACCUUGAAAUACCACCCUUUAAUGUUUGAUGUUCUAACGUUGACCCGUAAUCCGGGUUGCGGACAGUGUCUGGUGGGUAGUUUGACUGGGGCGGUCUCCUCCUAAAGAGUAACGGAGGAGCACGAAGGUUGGCUAAUCCUGGUCGGACAUCAGGAGGUUAGUGCAAUGGCAUAAGCCAGCUUGACUGCGAGCGUGACGGCGCGAGCAGGUGCGAAAGCAGGUCAUAGUGAUCCGGUGGUUCUGAAUGGAAGGGCCAUCGCUCAACGGAUAAAAGGUACUCCGGGGAUAACAGGCUGAUACCGCCCAAGAGUUCAUAUCGACGGCGGUGUUUGGCACCUCGAUGUCGGCUCAUCACAUCCUGGGGCUGAAGUAGGUCCCAAGGGUAUGGCUGUUCGCCAUUUAAAGUGGUACGCGAGCUGGGUUUAGAACGUCGUGAGACAGUUCGGUCCCUAUCUGCCGUGGGCGCUGGAGAACUGAGGGGGGCUGCUCCUAGUACGAGAGGACCGGAGUGGACGCAUCACUGGUGUUCGGGUUGUCAUGCCAAUGGCACUGCCCGGUAGCUAAAUGCGGAAGAGAUAAGUGCUGAAAGCAUCUAAGCACGAAACUUGCCCCGAGAUGAGUUCUCCCUGACUCCUUGAGAGUCCUGAAGGAACGUUGAAGACGACGACGUUGAUAGGCCGGAUGUGUAAGCGCAGCGAUGCGUUGAGCUAACCGGUACUAAUGAACCGUGAGGCUUAACCUUACAACGCCGAAGGUGUUU